rnacentral:pre_miRNA from 12 species
GACCCUGGGCUCAAGGUGAGGGGUGCUAUCUGUGAUUGAGGGACAUGGUACAUAGAAUUGUCUCACACAGAAAUCGCACCCGUCUCCUUGGCCUGCUUA